rnacentral:rRNA from 1 species
UACGAGAGGCCCAAACGUUAUUCGGAAUUACUGGGCUUAAAGAGUUCGUAGGCGGCGCAGAAAGUAGGGUGUGAAAGCCCUCGGCUCAACCGAGGAAUUGCGCUCUAAACUACUGUGCUUGAGGGACCUAGAGGUGAGCGGAACUGAUGGUGGAGCGGUGAAAUGCGUUGAUAUCAAUCAGGAACACCGGGAGGCGAAGGCGGCUCACUGGGGGUCUUCUGACGCUGAGGAACGAAAGCCAGGGGAGCGAACGGG